CCUACGGGGUGCAGCAGUGAGGAAUAUUGGUCAAUGGACGCGAGUCUGAACCAGCCAUGCCGCGUGCAGGAAGACUGCUCUAUGAGUUGUAAACUGCUUUUGUAUGAGCGUAAAUCUCAAUACGUGUAUUGUUUUGUAAGUAUCUUACGAAUAAGGAUCGGCUAACUCCGUGCCAGCAGCCGCGGUAAUACGGAGGAUCCGAGCGUUAUCCGGAUUUAUUGGGUUUAAAGGGUGCGUAGGCGGGGGGUUAAGUUAGAGGUGAAAUUUCGGGGCACAACCCUGGAACUGCAUUUGAUACGGGUGGUCUAGAGUUUAGUAGAGGUAGGCGGAAUGUGUGGUGGAGCGGUGAAAUGCAUAGAGAUCAUGAAGAACACCGAUUGCGAAGGCAGCUUACCAAACUGCGACUGACGUUGAGGCACGAAAGUGUGGGGAGCAAACAGGAUUAGAUACCCCUGUAGUC
rnacentral:rRNA from 1 species